rnacentral:rRNA from 1 species
GAUGAACGCUAGCGGCAGGCUUAAUACAUGCAAGUCGAGGGGCAGCAUGAGUGUAGCAAUACAUUUGAUGGCGACCGGCAAACGGGUGCGGAACACGUACACAACCUUCCUAUAAGUGGGGAAUAGCCCAGAGAAAUUUGGAUUAAUACCCCGUAACAUAAUGAUGUGGCAUCACAUUAUUAUUAUAGCUACGGCGCUUAUUGAUGGGUGUGCGGCUGAUUAGAUAGUUGGCGGGGUAACGGCCACCAAGUCUACGAUCAGUAGCUGAUGUGAGAGCAUGAUCAGCCACACGGGCACUGGGACACGGGCCCGACUCCUACGGGAGACAGCAGUAAGGAAUAUUGGUCAAUGGACGCAAGUCUGAACCAGCCAUGCCGCGUGAAGGAUUAAGGUCCUCUGGAUUGUAAACUUCUUUUAUCUGGGACGAAAAAAGGCGAUUCUUCGUCACUUGACGGUACCAGAUGAAUAAGCACCGGCUAACUCCGUGCCAGCAGCCGCCGUAAUAC